AUGUGUGGUUUCAGUGGAUUCAGGGUAGUGGCUGAUAUACGAAAGCACAUUUGUAAAUGCUUAUUAUGGUUUUAUGGUUUGGCAGGACACAAGAGUUCAGAGGCCAGUCACAUCAUUCACCUCUUUUUGAACCCUUUGUCUCAAAACAUCCAGGCAGAUUUUUUUUUAUUCACUAAUGAUACCCCAACGGAGCGCAUGAUUCAAGGAAGGCUUUCACCCCAUUUGAAAAGGGGAAGUCAAACCAUCUUGUCACGACCGCUUGCUGAGGGGGGAAGGAAGCGCAGAGGCAGGACAUUCUGGGAAGGGGUUUUAUUAAUAAACAAACAAUAAACACAAAUAAAGAAUGGCUAACAGCUAACAGGCUAACAACAAAGGGUCUAUCACACAAAGCAACAAGAAACACGAUUGAGAUCCCCAACGGAGCUCCAUGCAGAUCUCCGUGGACCCUGGGGACCUCCCAAAAGCAUAAGGGCCUAGCAGACCCUGGGGACCUCCCGAAGACCAUCUGAAGUCUCUUUAAAUAGGUGGAGGUGACCAAUGACAGAUGGAGCUGGUAGGCCUCAACUCCUCCCACGAGUCAACCUAAAAGGGACAGGACGCAAAAAACACAGCCAGACACACAGAACACGUGGGAGCAUACAUCCAGGGACGUAAC
ensembl:lncRNA